rnacentral:rRNA from 1 species
CCUACGGGGGACAGCAGUGAGGAAUAUUGGUCAAUGGCCGAGAGGCUGAACCAGCCAAGUCGCGUGAGGGAAGACGGCCCUACGGGUUGUAAACCUCUUUUGUCGGGGAGCAAAGCGCGUCACGUGUGACUCCCCGAGAGGACCCGAAGAAAAAGCAUCGGCUAACCCCGUGCCAGCAGCCGCGGUAAGACGGAGGGUGCGAGCGUUAUCCGGAUUUAUUGGGUUUAAAGGGGGCGCAGGCGGAGGGGCAAGUCAGCGGUCAAAUUGCGGGGCUCAACCCCGUACUGCCGUUGAAACUGUAUCCCUUGAGUGCGCGAGAAGUAUGCGGAAUGCGUGGUGUAGCGGUGAAAUGCAUAGAUAUCACGCAGAACUCCGAUUGCGAAGGCAGCAUACCGGCGCGCAACUGACGCUCAUGCACGAAAGCGUGGGUAUCGAACAGGAUUAGAUACCCUGGUAGUC